rnacentral:misc_RNA from 1 species
GAUGAAGAACGCAGCGAAAUGCGAUAAUUAAUGUGAAUUGCAGAAUUCAGUGAAUCAUCGAAUCUUUGAACGCACAUUGCGCCCCCUGGUAUUCCGGGGGGCAUGCCUGUCCGAGCGUCAUUACAACCCUCAAGCUCAGCUUGGUGUUGGGCCCCGCCGCCCCGGCGGGCCCUAAAGUCAGUGGCGGUGCCGGCCGGCUCCGAGCGUAGUAAUUCUUCUCGCUCUGGAGGUCCGGUCGUGUGCUCGCCAGCAACCCCCAAUUUUUUUCAGGUUGACCUCGGAUCAGGUAGGGAUACCCGCUGAACUUAAGCAUAUCAAUAAGCGGAGGA